UACGGGAGGCAGCAGUGGGGAAUAUUGCACAAUGGGCGCAAGCCUGAUGCAGUCAUGCCGCGUGUAUGAAGAAGGCCUUCGGGUUGUAAAGUACUUUCAGUCGUGAGGAAGGUGUUAAGGUUAAUAACCUUAGCAAUUGACGUUAGCGACAGAAGAAGCACCGGCUAACUCCGUGCCAGCAGCCGCGGUAAUACGGAGGGUGCGAGCGUUAAUCGGAAUUACUGGGCGUAAAGGGCACGCAGGCGGUUAAUUAAGUUGGAUGUGAAAUCCCCGGGCUUAACCUGGGAAUGGCAUUCAAGACUGGUUAGCUAGAGUCUUGUAGAGGGGGUAGAAUUCCAUGUGUAGCGGUGAAAUGCGUAGAGAUGUGGAGGAAUACCGGUGGCGAAGGCGGCCCCUGGGACAAAGACUGACGCUCAUGUGCGAAAGCGUGGGGAGCAAACAGGGAUUAGAUACC
rnacentral:rRNA from 1 species